CAAUAGCGUAUAUUAAAGUUGUUGCGGUAAAAAAGCUCGUAGUUGGAUUUCUACCGAAGAUAGCCGGUCGGGUCUUCGACCUUGUAUCUGGUUUUGUCUUUGGUAUCCUCAUAGGGAACGUUUCUGCGCUUUAUUGCGUGGUGCGGUAUCUAUGACUUUUACUUUGAGGAAAUUAGAGUGUUCACGGCAGGCAAACGCCUUGAAUAUAUUAGCAUGGAGUAAUAACAUAGGAUCUUCGUCCUAUUUUGUUGGUUUCUAGGGCUAAGAUAAUGAUUAAUAGGGAUAAUUGGGGGCAUCUGUAUCAACGCGUCAGAGGUGGAAUUCUUGGAUUGCGUUGCGACAAACUACUGCGAAAGCAUUUGCCAAGGAUGUUUUCAUUGA
rnacentral:rRNA from 1 species